rnacentral:rRNA from 1 species
GGUAACGGCUCACCUAGGCGACGAUCCCUAGCUGGUCUGAGAGGAUGACCAGCCACACUGGAACUGAGACACGGUCCAGACUCCUACGGGAGGCAGCAGUGGGGAAUAUUGCACAAUGGGCGCAAGCCUGAUGCAGCCAUGCCGCGUGUAUGAAGAAGGCCUUCGGGUUGUAAAGUACUUUCAGCGGGGAGGAAGGGAGUAAAGUUAAUACCUUUGCUCAUUGACGUUACCCGCAGAAGAAGCACCGGCUAACUCCGUGCCAGCAGCCGCGGUAAUACGGAGGGUGCAAGCGUUAAUCGGAAUUACUGGGCGUAAGGCGCACGCAGGCGGUUUGUUAAGUCAGAUGUGAAAUCCCCGGGCUCAACCUGGGAACUGCAUCUGAUACUGGCAAGCUUGAGUCUCGUAGAGGGGGGUAGAAUUCCAGGUGUAGCGGUGAAAUGCGUAGAGAUCUGGAGGAAUACCGGUGGCGAAGGCGGCCCCCUGGACGAAGACUGACGCUCAGGUGCGAAAGCGUGGGGAGCAAACAGGAUAAGAUACCCUGGUAGUCCACGCCGUAAACGAUGUCGACUUGUAGGUUGUGCCCUUGAGGCGUGGCUUCCGGAGCUAACGCGUUAAGUCGACCGCCUGGGGAGUACGGCCGCAAGGUUAAAACUCAAAUGAAUUGACGGGGGCCCGCACAAGCGGUGGAGCAUGUGGUUUAAUUCGAUGCAACGCGAAGAACCUUACCUGGUCUUGACAUCCACGGAAGUUUUCAGAGAUGAGAAUGUGCCUUCGGGAACCGUGAGACAGGUGCUGCAUGGCUGUCGUCAGCUCGUGUUGUGAAAUGUUGGGUUAAGUCCCGCAACGAGCGCAACCCUUAUCCUUUGUUGCCAGCGGUCCGGCCGGGAACUCAAAGGAGACUGCCAGUGAUAAACUGGAGGAAGGUGGGGAUGACGUCAAGUCAUCAUGGCCCUUACGACCAGGGCUACACACGUGCUACAAUGGCGCAUACAAAGAGAAGCGACCUCGCGAGAGCAAGCGGACCUCAUAAAGUGCGUCGUAGUCCGGAUUGGAGUCUGCAACUCGACUCCAUGAAGUCGGAAUCGCUAGUAAUCGUGGAUCAGAAUGCCACGGUGAAUACGUUCGCGGGCCUUGUACACACCGCCCGUCA